rnacentral:rRNA from 1 species
UACUGACACUCAGAUGCGAAAGCGUGGGGAGCAAACAGGAUUAGAUACCCUGGUAGUCCACGCCGUAAACGAUGUCUACUUGGAGGUUGUGGCCUUGAGCCGUGGCUUUCGGAGCUAACGCGUUAAGUAGACCGCCUGGGGAGUACGGUCGCAAGAUUAAAACUCAAAUGAAUUGACGGGGGCCCGCACAAGCGGUGGAGCAUGUGGUUUAAUUCGAUGCAACGCGAAGAACCUUACCUACUCUUGACAUCCAGAGAAGCCAGCGGAGACGCAGGUGUGCCUUCGGGAGCUCUGAGACAGGUGCUGCAUGGCUGUCGUCAGCUCGUGUUGUGAAAUGUUGGGUUAAGUCCCGCAACGAGCGCAACCCUUAUCCUUGUUUGCCAGCGAGUAAUGUCGGGAACUCCAGGGAGACUGCCGGUGAUAAACCGGAGGAAGGUGGGGACGACGUCAAGUCAUCAUGGCCCUUACGAGUAGGGCUACACACGUGCUACAAUGGCGCAUACAGAGGGCAGCGAACUUGCGAGAGUGAGCGAAUCCCAAAAAGUGCGUCGUAGUCCGGAUUGGAGUCUGCAACUCGACUCCAUGAAGUCGGAAUCGCUAGUAAUCGUAGAUCAGAAUGCUACGGUGAAUACGUUCCCGGGCCUUGUACACACCGCCCGUCACACCAUGGGAGUGGGCUGCAAAAGAAGUGGGUAGUUUAACCUUCGGGAGGACGCUCACCACUUUGUGGUUCAUGACUGGGGUGAAGUCGUAACAAGGUAGCCCUAGGGGAAC